UACGGAGGGUGCGAGCGUUGUCCGGAAUCACUGGGCGUAAAGGGCGCGUAGGCGGCGCGGGUAGUCAACGGUGAAAGCUUGGGGCUCAACCCCGAGUCGGCCGUCGAUACUCCCGUGCUUGAGCACUGUAGAGGCAGGUGGAAUUCCGGGUGUAGCGGUGGAAUGCGUAGAGAUCGGGAGGAAGGCCGGUGGCGAAGGCGGCGCUCUGGAACAUUUCUGACGCUGAGGCUCGAAAGCGUGGGGAGCAAACAGG
rnacentral:rRNA from 1 species